rnacentral:tRNA from 3 species
UCCUUAGUAGCUCAGUGGUAGAGCGGUCGGUUGUUAACUGACUGGUCGUAGGUUCGAAUCCUACUUGGGGAG